GAAAAAUGUUAACAUACUUAAUAAAAAAGAACACUUCAGAGUCAAUUAGAAAUGUACCUAAUUGUCUCUAUAACAUAAAAAGUUACUUAGAAUUUCUGAUACUUUAUCAGUUUUAGGAGAGAGUAAUAAAAUGACUUUCCUUUUUCUGUGUGUGUUAGAUAAGUUAAAGCAUGCAAAACUUGUUUCAGUAUUGCCUGGCAUAUGCCAACUAUUUGAUAAUAGUUAUUAUAAAAAAUUGUUUUAUUUCCUGGUUGAUUGUAAGCUCUUUAUUGUGAUCCAUAAAGUCCUGUAUGAGCCAGCCCCUCCCUAUCUUAUAACACUCUACCUUUUGGGGACUUUGCACCAGCUGCGUUUUGUUGCUUAGAGCUUUCCUCCCCGAUGUCCCUAUAUUACUGGCUCCUGCCCAUCAUUCAAAUCUUAGCUCAGUGGUUACCUUUCCAGACAGGUCUUUCCUGGUCACUGCAUCUAAGUAGGCCUACUAAUCCAUCCCUGGUCACUAACUAUUAUGGAAUUUGAAAUUCAAACCUGUGUUUUUCUCCUAGUGUUUUAUCACUGUGUAGUCAACUGACUUGUGUCUUCUCCCCCAGAAAAAAAGAUACGUUCUGGUUCUAAGCCCCAGUACCUAUUAAUGUAACCAUACUUGACUGAAAAUAAGGUAUUUGCAGGUAUAAUCAAGUUAAAAUGAGGUAGUACUAUACUAGGGUAGGCCCUAAAUCCAGUGACAGGCGUCUUCAUAAGAAAAAGAAGAGAGAUAUUUAGACACAGAGACAUGCAGGAUACAAACAGAGAACAGAGACAUAAAAACAAGAGAUUAGAAUCAUGAGGCCACAGCCAAGCAAUGCCUGGGACCACUAGAUGCAGGAAUAGGCGAGGAAAGAUUCUCCCCUAGAGCCAGCGAAGAGAGCACAGUCCUGCUGACACCUUGAUUUCAGACUUCUGACCAUCAGAACCGUGACGGAAUAAAUUUCUGUUGUUUUGAGCCACCCAGUUUGUGGUAAUUUGUUACGGAAGCCCCAGGAAACUAAUACACAUGGCUUGAAACUAACUUGUUUAUUUUUGAUGUUCUGUUUAUUAUCUGUCUGACUUUAGGAGUAUGUUUACCUUGUGCAAGCAGAAGUCAAUUGUCUUCUUCACCACUUUAAUUCCAGGGACUGGAAUGAUGCUGCCUAGAGCACAGUAGUUCAGUUCCUUUCUGUUGCUCUGUCAAAGCCAAGAGAGAGCCUGACUUCUCUGCUGACAUCUAAGUCUUCAGAAGAAUGAACUGGCACCUCAUUGACCUAUUUCUGAUGUAAUUACCAUCUAAGAAAUGCAUACCUCCCAAGUUACAACAUACAAAGUCAAAGAAAGGACAAGGAACAAGCCUUUUCCUAUCGUGAGUGUGAGUGUCAUUCUCAGUGCUUCUGCUACAGCCAGAUUUCUUGCUCCCCUGUGUUUCUGCAGUCUCUUGGGCAUAAGCCAUGGGUUGAAGCAGCCAACUCUAUGAUUAUUCAACUCUUUAACUUAAAACAUUGGCACUUAGUGAGUUAGUGAGCGAUGGUCCUGCACUAACACAAAAUUGAAAAACAAAGCACUGAUAAGUUAUAAUUAUGUUAUUCUUUUCUUUGUGCCAUAUUCCUAUAUCUUAUUUGUAUUUAAUUACAUUGUAUGUCUACUUAGUAGAUAACAUACUAUUUUUUCAAUUGAAACCAUGAUUUUUAUAUGUUUCACUGGAAAUGUUUGGAAAAUUAUGAGCCCUUGGACUUCAUUGAACUGUAAGUUUUAUCCUUCCGUUUCUUUUCUUUGACCCAUUUAUUUUGGCAAGAAAAACAUUUAUUAUACUUGAAAAGGCUUCCUUCAUCAUGGUUCAAACAUGAGGCUCAGGUUUUUUGAACCAUGUAAGAACAGUGCAUACCAGAGACUGUAUCUGAGUACUUGGUACAUAUUUGCUAGUGGGUUGCUAUUUGUUGAUUAAAUAAAUGAGGGAAAUAUUGAGAGUCUGUGACAACUGUAUCUUAAACUUUGCAUCAGAUAUAACCAGACAAUACCAGAAUUAUUACAUUGAUUACGGAAGUAGAAUCUGACCUCCGUCUAGUUCAGGAUGCCUUUGCAGCUGUUAAAGAAAAGACAAAGUAUCUGCUUCAGGACUCUUUUCCCGGCUUUGGAGAAAGGACUCCAGUGAGGUUAAGAGCUGAUUUAGAGUUACAGUAGUAUAUCCAUCAAUACAGUGCUCCAGUCCCACAGGAUACUCAGAAAACAUUUUUACUGAUUGUUUCUAACCUUUACUUUCUGUCUCUUAGGCAUUUCGAAAUGAACAACAAAGCAACAAGUCUUACGCUUACAAUCUUCAUUUGGCAUGUUUAGAAGUUUGGACUGCUAACAAAUGUCUGUUAAGCAUUACCCCAACCUGUUUUAAAAGAUGUCACAGCAUUCAUGACUAUGGAACUGUGUUCACACCAGAUGACAAGAAUCUGUUAGCAACCUGUUAUGUAGUUUUCAGCCUCUUAGGGUAUAAUGGGUAUAAAUAC
ensembl:lncRNA novel transcript